rnacentral:rRNA from 1 species
GUAGGGAAUAUUGGGCAAUGGGCGAGAGCCUGACCCAGCCAUGCCGCGUGGAGGAUGAAGGCGCUCAGCGUUGUAAACUUCUUUUAUCUGGGAAGAACGGCAGGUCUGCGGACUUGUGUGACGGUACCAGAGGAAUAAGCACCGGCUAACUCCGUGCCAGCAGCCGCGGUAAUACGGAGGGUGCAAGCGUUGUCCGGAUUUAUUGGGUUUAAAGGGUGCGUAGGUGGCCUCCUAAGUCUGGUUUGAAAGCAGGCGGCUUAACCGUCUGAUGUGGCUGGAAACUGGGGGGCUUGAAUGCGGGAGCGGUUGCCGGAACGGGUCAUGUAGCGGUGAAAUGCAUAGAUAUGACCCAGAACACCGAUUGCGAAGGCAGGCAACCAGUCCGUGAUUGACACUGAGGCACGAGAGCAUGGGGAGCCAACAGG